rnacentral:rRNA from 1 species
AUGAACGCUGGCGGCGUGCCUAAUACAUGCAAGUCGAGCGAACAGAUAAGGAGCUUGCUCCUUUGACGUUAGCGGCGGACGGGUGAGUAACACGUGGGUAACCUACCUAUAAGACUGGGAUAACUUCGGGAAACCGGAGCUAAUACCGGAUAAUAUUUCGAACCGCAUGGUUCGAUAGUGAAAGAUGGUUUUGCUAUCACUUAUAGAUGGACCCGCGCCGUAUUAGCUAGUUGGUAAGGUAAUGGCUUACCAAGGCGACGAUACGUAGCCGACCUGAGAGGGUGAUCGGCCACACUGGAACUGAGACACGGUCCAGACUCCUACGGGAGGCAGCAGUAGGGAAUCUUCCGCAAUGGGCGAAAGCCUGACGGAGCAACGCCGCGUGAGUGAUGAAGGUCUUCGGAUCGUAAAACUCUGUUAUUAGGGAAGAACAUACGUGUAAGUAACUGUGCACGUCUUGACGGUACCUAAUCAGAAAGCCACGGCUAACUACGUG